rnacentral:rRNA from 1 species
UACGGGGGGAGCAAGCGUUGUUCGGAUUUACUGGGCGUAAAGGGCGCGUAGGCGGUCAGCACAAGUCAGUUGUGAAAUCUCCGGGCUUAACUCGGAAAGGUCAACUGAUACUGUGCGACUAGAGUGCAGAAGGGGCAACUGGAAUUCUCGGUGUAGCGGUGAAAUGCGUAGAUAUUCGCAAGAACACCAGUGGCGAAGGCGGCUCACUGGCCCGGUACUGACGCUGUGGUGCGAAAGCGUGGGGAGCAAACAGG